ensembl:lncRNA
UGUGUGUGUGUGUGUGUGUGUGUGUGUGUGUGUGUGUAGAUCGUGUGCCGUCGGUUAACUUUAAACUCACCUCUGCACACUUGUAGGAUGUAACGGUUAUAUAUGCGCUUACGCAUCUUUAAUCUGCUGCAGCUCACGCCCCCACGCACGACCACACACAGACACACACGCAGACACACACUCACCGACAGAGCUGAUCAACAGCAAGUGACGAGUCUCAGUCACAUUUCCUUUGUCAGCGUGCGAGUCGGUCAGUGUUCUGUGUCUCGGGUGGAGUCAGCAGCAGCAGCCCGCCUGCAGCACAGCUAGCGGGAUGAAGGUCCACUGGGUGAGCUGCGUGUUGGGAUUCCUCUGCGGGCCUGCACUCAGGACCAUGACAGGUGAGGCGGUCGGUAACAAUUCAUCUCUCCUGACCACUUCCCAAGAGCCCCAGUCCAUCUCUCUGAUGAGAGUCAACUCCUCUGCUGAGAUCACCUGCUCCACAUCGCUGUCGGACCUCAGGGGCUUGUCCCUGCAACAGGGUUUUCCUGAAAUGAAAAAGAUUAUGUAUGUGGACAUUAAGAAUCGGCUAGUGAACAAGGAGACGCGCGCCGCUGCUUUUGCAGGCCGCGUUCACGUAGCUCCCCACCAGAAGAUCAGGGAGGGCCACAGCUUCACCUUUCGGCUGUCUCGGCUGGGACCGGAGGACACCAACGUGUAUUUAUGCAGCUGGAACUUCUUGAAAAAAGACAUGUCAUUGAUAGAGAAGCUGCACAGCCCUGGCACCGUUGUGAUCAUCAGGGAGAAAGACCCCCAGGAACAAUGCAAGGGCCACAUGUUUGAUCGCAUCCUACUUGAUCGCAUCCUACUUGCCUUGAGCGUGACAGGGUUGUUUAUCGUAAUGAUCCUCUGCAUCGGAGCGCUGAUUGUGAGACGCAAACGAUUCCAAAGACGCUUCCGACCAGCCGGUGCUGCAAUACCACCCAGGCCCAACAGGCCUCAGCUUGUCUGCCCUCAGCACCAAGUUCAACAUCGUCCGUACACAUCGUUACAUUCCACGGAUUUCAGAGGGAUUCUGACAUGCUGAGAAUUUGACGUGACUGAAGAGAUGACUUUGUCUUGUAACGGUUAUUGACGCCUGUCCAGCAGAUUUAGCGAGCGUAGGGGUUUGAAAUGGAUGAUUGAGAUGUCAUUUGAGUCAUUAGCUCGCCUGGCGGGCUCAACCCAGCAAAGGUGUCUGGCGUCUUGCUUUGCUGCUUUUCAAUUUCCUUUUAUACAAAAAAAUGCAUGUUUUUUUUGCAGGAGAGUGAUUGAGCUACCACAUCCUGGCUGGUGUUGGGUGUUUGAAUAUGACGCGUGUGAAGAGUGGUAGUGAUACAAACUGCGGAGCAAGGGUUUCAGUUAUUCUUUGUGUUGGAUUAAAUGUGUAUUGAUCUGUUGACUUGUGCAGUAGGCUUGAUGUGGUUUCUUUCCAUUUCCUUUGAACUUCAAUUUGAAAACACCACUGCUUUCGUAUUAUUUAAUAAAGUCCUUUAUAAAAUGGCAUCUAUAUUAUAUUUUUAGUAUUGCAGUAGUCAGACUUCCAGUCUUCAUACUAUGGAAGCCCAUUUCCACCACUAAAAAAAUUGAAGGGUUAGAAAAUUGAAAUUAUGACCUAAGAUAUGCGCGUGCAGGUGUUCUCCACUACAAUUAUAAUUUGUAUGGAUUGGCAUUGUAACACUGUUAAUCUUUUAACCGUGGCAAUGCGGUGCACUGGUGACUUGUGCAGUAGACUUGAUGUAGUUCCUUUCCAUUUCCUUUGAACUUUCAAACAAAUGUGAGCCAGUGUUCUUUCAUCAAAAAGAACAUUUAAUUUGAAAACACCACUGCUUUCGUAUUUUUUAAUGAAGUCCUUUAUAAAAUGGCAUCUAUAUUAUAUUUUUAGUAGUGCGCUAGACAGACUUCUAGUCUUCAUACUUUAGAGGCCAUUUCCGCCACACAAAAACAUGAACAGUUAGAAAGUCGAAAUUAUGACUUAAGAUAUGCGCAUGCGCAGGCUCCUUCGCUGUUUGGUAAAUUCACUUUUCCAAACGACUUUUUGUCAAAAGCGACCAGCGUCCUUGUCUGGUUUUAUUGGAGACCAGUGUGAUGUCUGACUUGAAAGCACGUCGUUGCACGCACGUUGUUUUGCGGUUACUGUCCUCCGCGAGUCUCACAGAAUGCUCGGAACUCGGAACCUCGGAGGAGACACACGUCACGUCGUCCAGACUGAAAGUCACGCGCGCAUGCGCAAAGCCGCCGCUGAUGCUAAAGCGACUUUUCUCGUUGAGGAAUUGGCAACACUGGUUCAAUAAAAAGAGAACUCUCUGUUAAAACGUUAAUAACCACGGGAGCUACGGAAUAAACACCACCCGGAACGUAUUUUAUCCCCCAAUAAGUUUGAUUUAUCUCGGAAGAUAAUACGAUAAGAUAAUUUAGACUCCGCUAAAUCCCAAGUGUUUCUUUUCAAAUAGGCUGGAUUAUCCCGUGAAGUUGAAAUUUGAAUUCGGCUCUGAAAAGCAAACCUUUUCGGUAAUGCAGUAAAUAAUAGCUCAUAGUAUGAAGACGGUAGCUGGUGCAUGUUCUUCCUGCGGAACCUUGCGUCGCGAUUAGCUGUUUUUUUUCCCCCACGGACCGCUGUGAGCGUGACACGCGGCGCAGCCUUGAAAAAUGUCUAUUCUGAUAAUAACACUGCAACUAACUAUGAGUCAACUGUCACAUUCGAGAAAACAAGGACGCGUGUACGGGAACUGUUAGCAUGAGUUAGCUCCGCGCCGGUACCCUGUCAGCACAGGUUAACGUGAGCUAACGUUACGUCAGAACACGCAGCCCGGAAAAGAGUGAUGGUUUUCUCCUUGGCUUUUGCUCCCUGCACUCCUCUCAAAGCACAGCCGGGGAUGUUGAGCUGAUUAACAAAUGCCAGCAACACGAGGCAGCGGGUUUUAAACUGUUUAUUGAUCUGAAGCCAGGAGACUAGUCUGUAGCACAGGGGGGGAAAUGAGCGGCCACAAAAUGCUGUUUCCGGG